ensembl:lncRNA
AUGAUGAGGUCCAAGCCUGUCCGGGGCCGGGUGCUGAUGGUACCGACGAGCCUCAGGAGGAUGAAGGCAGGCUGCACCCUUGCCACCUCCCGACGGCUUUGUGAGCCUGGAGGAUUCGGUCAAGGCGUUCAUGUGCAGACGUUCCCAUGGCUCCGUUUCCCACUCCUGGAGCACUCCAAAUCCAGCUGCAGGGGAGCAGCAGCCCCCAAGGCGCUCACACACUGCUGUCUUUCAGAACACGUCUCCUUGCGCACCAAGACCUCUGCUGGUGUCCACACCAGCUGGCAGCAUCCAUGUGCCGGAGCAUCCAAAGCAAAGUGCUGCACUGGGAAUCCAACAUUCCUUCACACCAAUUCCAUUUGCACCACUUUUGCGUGGCUGCUACUCUCCAGGCAGGAUGUUGCCAACCCCAUUUGCAGGUAUUUUGUGUAUGUCCCAUUAUUCGGGGGGAUGAACGCCCUGCUCCCCGGGCUGGCCGCACGGCACCCCGACCCCACAGCAGCCCCAUUGCUGCGCACAGACGGGCCAGCAGUGACUGCUGCAGAUGGCUGCGUUGUGCUGGGGACUGAAGGCUGCUGUUUCCAUGGCAGCAAUUCGACGACUCCACUUGUUAGCAACCCUACUAUUAAAAUGCAAACAAAAAUAAACCAGGAGAGUGACUUUUCCUUUCCCACUCUUUGGCCUUUGGGGGGGGCGUACACCCUCUGGGCCCUGCUGGAAACCUCAGGUUGCCACUGUGGCUUUUCCCACCCGCUUUUCCCAGUUUCCAGCUCAUGCUGGCACUGCACAAAAAGCAGGGCAAUGUUAGGGUGCUGCACAGCUUUUGGGGCCCUGCAGGUCGGCUCGGGCCAACCCCGCUGCUGUCAGCCCCAUUUAGCAGGCUGGUCCCGGGGCCGGGAGCCAGCGGCCCCACUGGUAUCAGGGUGCCCAGGAAGGAAAACCAAGGCCCUUCAUGGAGAUAGAAAGCCCACUCCCUAUGUCCUCUCCUUGCUUAGUGAAACAAUGGUAUUUCUGGCCAUUAAUUCCCCAUUAAAAAAAAAGUUAGAAGAAAAAGGAAAAAAGGCUGGUUCUUUAUCCAGAGCUGUUCAAAGACAGGAGAACAGGCUGGAGCCCACAGGUGGUUCCCAAGCCCUUUCUGACGAUCACACGCUUGAUUAG